GCCCCUGCCCACCCCCCUCCGCCAUCACACAGAGAGAUGAAGCCGUCCCCAGCAGUAGGCGCUGUAUCCAGCAGCAUCAGCUACCAGGAAUCAGAGCGAAAUGGCCCUGAGGGUGCUAGUGGUUCAUACGAGUCGGCGGGUGAUUUGUUGUCUGUAUGAGAGCAUGAUGUAUUUUGUUGACAGGAAUCAGAGCGAAAU